AAACAAUGUAAAGAUAUAUCAUGAUUGAAAGAGUAUGAAUAAUAAGCUGGCUAUCUUUCACAAUGUAGUUGUGAAUUAGCAUGAACAAAAUUUCAUAGCUGAAUGAACAUUGAAAAUGAACAUAACAAUUAUAUCUGAACCGAAUGGUAAUGAAGGUGAUCAGCCUUUCAUACCUGAUGAAUACAUGCAAUAUGUACAGAGUACAAUUCUACACUGGCAAUCAACAAUGAUUAACCAUAAUCAUAUCUGAAUGAAACCACUCUUAGAAGAGUUUAAGUAAAAAGAAAAUUACCUGAACCGUUGAUUACUGUAACGCAAUUAAUAAGCUUCGUCUGAAGACCUAAUAUUAAUAAUAUAGAUCUCCAAUAUUAGAAUAAUAUCAUCACAGUAUAAUACUGUUAUAGAAUAACCUAAACACAUAACACAUAACCCUGUCAGUCUAUACAGCACAUAAAACUUAGCAUCAAGUCAAAUUAUUUCGGUCUGAUUUGAAACCAACAAAAUUCUAUCAUCCCGACGAUCUAGUCGGAUAAAUAUCGAGUCUAAGUUCAAUUAAACUCUAUCUAACACUUAAAAAUUAUCUUAGACAAUCAUAUUAUCAGUCUAAAUAAUUUUCAUAAGCUCUAAAUGAUUUUCAGAUAAUUAAUAUCAUUUAUCUAAAUUUUUCGAUCAUUAAUAACGUAUUUAAAUGAAAUAAAUACCACAUAAUUCCUUAAUCAUUAAUAUUUAUUUAAUACCAAAUAUUAAUAAAAAUCAUAACAUAAUAUUAUAAUAUAUUUAUAAUAUAUCACGGUAUUUUUAAUACCUUAAAAUCACAUUUAUAUGAUUUUUAAACACUUAAAAUCAUUAUCUGAUAAUUGAUAUUAAUAAUAAAAUAUUAAUAUUUUCAUGCCAAAAUAUCAAAAGUUAUAUUUUAUAACUUAAAAUAUUUUUCUAACACUUAAAUCAUUUUUAUAUGAUUUUUAAAUUAUUAAUUCUAUUUUUACAUAAUUUAUUUAAUAUAUUUAUUAAAUAAACUAAUUAUCAUUAAUAUUGAUUAAUUAAUGAAUUUUCAUCACAAAAUAUUAAAAGUCAUCAAAAAUAACUCAUUUACAUAAUCAAUUCCAAGCCAAAAUAAACAUAGUAAACUAACUAGUUUAUUAACAAAACUAACUAAACUUUAAAAAUUUAAACUUUAACUAACAACUAAAUACAAUAUUUAAAAUAAUAACAUUACAAAAAAUUAAAUAAGAAACAUAACCGAAAAUACGAAUUCCACAAACUGAAUACGUACUCGACCAAGAUUUAAUUAAGGAGAUCUUUAUAAAAAGUCCUCCCACAACAAAACAUUUCUCAAAAUUAGAUGCCUUAUUGUUGGUGAAUGAAACAAAGGCCAAGCCCUUCUAUUUAUAGGUUUAGAAAAGGGUGAAGUUCUCAAUUUAGUCGAUGUGGGACUUAGUUUAUACUAAUUUUUCAAUAGCUCACUUUGCGAUUUUCUCACGCCUUGCUCAUUUAUCAGAAAAUUCCCAACUUUGGAUAUGUUAUACAUGGUAUACCAAAGUAUUUUUAAAAAAUAUAACCCAGUAAUUUCGGACCUCUUAGGAAGCCUAAAACAGACCCCAAAAAUGUCAACUCGCAACCGUUUUUAUCUAUUUCCAAGAUUUACCCUCUUUCGCUAAAACAGUCAUAACUCUUUCGUUUAAAAAAAUUUUAGACGAUUCUUGAGCCCACGCGAAGCUAUCUUCCGAGACUACAACUCUUCCCUACUGACUUGUUUCCAAAUUCCGAACACAUCAACCCAGAAAUUCCGUUCAAGUGGACUGCACCACACUUGUUGGAUAGUUUUGACACUACUACUUUGAAAUGUCAUAACUCUCUCCUCCGAUAUCGGAUUUAGUCCGUUUUGGAGUCUAUGGAAAGUUUAUUCAGUGUAAUACAACAUAUCAAAAGCCCAGACCUUUUAAAGCAGAAAAAGUGGACGAGAAUACCCCCGUUACAGACUGCCCAAAAACAGUUUCUCAUGAUCGGUGAACCAUGUUUGACCAUCUAUAACUUCUAAUCUACAACAGAUAUGGACUUGCUUCUUUUUGCAGAUUAAAGACCAUAUAACAGACUACACAUACCAACUUUUAGAACAUAAAACACAUUAAAGAUCACAGAGAUAUAAGGCUUGACAUUUGCCAAAAAAAUCACAUUUUACAAAAUUUCCAGAUUUUUGAAAUCUUCAAAUCCGAGCUUCUAAAUGUUAUGGAAUCAACAUCUAGCAACCCAGAUCAUCAAUUGACACCCUUUAACACAUAUCUAGCCAACAAAUUACAACAUUUAACAUCAAAUCAUCAAAUUUCUAAAAUUAGGAUUUUUAUACCUUUUUGAGCUUUGAUCUUGAAUCUGAUCACCACGUUCUGUUCUUAGCUUAAGGGAAUGAAUAUCUUAAGAAUUUCAUGGGUCUAGAGAGAGAGAAUGUGGGUUGAGAGCUUGAUAGCAAUUUAGCAUAAUUUGUUAACUUUCUCUCUUCACUUAUAUAAUCUUUUGAUUCAAUGUAUCUAGAUGAUCUAAGGGCUAAGAUUACUGAUUUUGCUGGACAUAUAGACCCACCAAUUAAAUCAAUUAGGUCACCAACUCAAUUAUUUGCAAUAAUUCACAAAUAAAACAAAAAGGGUAAAAUGGUAAUUUCUAUACCAAUAAUUGAUUUCUACCUUUAAUAAUGCACAAGGGUAUUUUAGACUUCUCACUUUCAUUAUUAAGGGCAUUUUAGACAUUGGUUACAACCCUUAGGGUUCCCAAAAAUUAAUUUUCUAAUAUUUUAAAUUUAGAUUUUCUAAAUAGAAAAUUAAUAUCUCUAAACUAUAAUUAGAAUUUUCAAAUUAUAUUCUAAUUUCCCAAUUAUAAAUCAUUAUUGACAAUUAGGAUUAAAUAAUUGCUAAUUAAAAUUGCUAAUUUAGCAAUUAGGUCCGUUAGGGUUUCAAACGGAACAAUUAGGGUUUUAUACCGUAAAAUUAGGGUUUUCUAAAUUAUUAGAAAAUAUAAUUUAAACAUUAGGGUUAUCCCUAAUUAGGUUGCAAUUUAAAAUAUAUAAACUUUAUAUAUUGCAAUUAAAUUCUCAAAUUAGGAUUUUUAAUAUCCGAAUUAGGGUUUUAAUUUCCCGAAACAGAAACUAGGGUUUUCAGAACCGAUUUCUAGGGUUUCUUAAAAAUCGUAAUAAUUUUAUAAUUGAACGUGGACGUUCUUAAUAUAUAUGUUUAGGGUUUGACACAGGUUUAAUUUAUCUGGUCAACCCUUGACCCUUAACCACAUUCUGUACACAUAAUACCAUAAUCCUGAAUAAUUCACCAAAAGAAAUUUUAAAUUCUCAAAAUUCCUUCCUGAAAAUAUCAAACGCAUACACUUAUUUUCUGUCUAGGUCUAAUAUUUGACCUUAAAUCAAUCAUUUAAGAUUUUAAUAAAUUUUCUAAAUUCUCGGGUUGUCACACAUGCAAUAUGUACAGAUUACAAUUCUAUAGUGGCAAUCAACAAUGAUUAACCAUAAGCAUAUCUG
rnacentral:lncRNA from 1 species